rnacentral:rRNA from 1 species
UACGUAGGGGGCAAGCGUUGUCCGGAUUUAUUGGGCGUAAAGCGCGCGUAGGCGGCGCGGUAUGUCGUGCGUGAAAUCUCCCGGCUUAACUGGGAGGGGCCGUGCGAAACUGCCGGGCUUGAGGUCAGAAGGGGAAAGUGGAAUUCCGGGUGUAGUGGUGGAAUACGUAGAUAUCCGGAGAAACACCAGCGGCGAAGGCGGCUUUCUGGUCUGAUACUGACGCUGAGGCGCGAAAGCGUGGGGAGCGAGCCGG